rnacentral:rRNA from 1 species
GCAGUCGAACGGCAGCGCGGGGCAACCUGGCGGCGAGUGGCGAACGGGUGAGUAAUAUAUCGGAACGUGCCCAGGAGUGGGGGAUAACGCAGCGAAAGUUGCGCUAAUACCGCAUACGAUCUAAGGAUGAAAGCGGGGGACUCGCAAGAACCUCGCGCUCCUGGAGCGGCCGAUAUCUGAUUAGCUAGUAGGUGUGGUAAUGGCGCACCUAGGCGACGAUCAGUAACUGGUCUGAGAGGAUGACCAGUCACACUGGGACUGAGACACGGCCCAGACUCCUACGGGAGGCAGCAGUGGGGAAUAUUGGACAAUGGGCGAAAGCCUGAUCCAGCAAUGCCGCGUGAGUGAAGAAGGCCUUCGGGUUGUAAAGCUCUUUUACCCGGGAAGAUAAUGACUGUACCGGGAGAAUAAGCCCCGGCUAACUCCGUGCCAGCAGCCGCGGUAAUACGGAGGGGGCUAGCGUUGUUCGGAAUUACUGGGCGUAAAGCGUACGUAGGCGGCUUUUUAAGUCAGAGGUGAAAUCCCGGGGCUCAACUCCGGAACUGCCUUUGAGACUGGAUCGCUUGAACGUCGGAGAGGUGAGUGGAAUUCCGAGUGUAGAGGUGAAAUUCGUAGAUAUUCGGAAGAACACCAGUGGCGAAGGCGGCUCACUGGACGACUGUUGACGCUGAGGUACGAAAGCGUGGGGAGCAAACAGGAUUAGAUACCC